rnacentral:ncRNA from 1 species
AGGUGCCGGCUAAAUUUAUUUUAACCGGUGAAAAGGGAAGUCAGGUGGAAAUCCUGCGCGGUCCCGCCGCUGUAAGAGUGAAGCCCUGCAAAUUACCACUGGGGAACCGGGAAGGUAUGCAAGAGUGAUGAUGCUUGAGCCAGAAGACCUGCCUGUUUUU